rnacentral:rRNA from 1 species
GAAUAUUGGACAAUGGGCGCAAGCCUGAUCCAGCCACGCCGCGUGAGUGAUGAAGGCCUUCGGGUCGUAAAGCUCUGUGGGGAGGGACGAACCGCUGCACGUUCAUAGCGUGCAGCAUGACGGUACCUCCUUAGCAAGCACCGGCUAACUUCGUGCCAGCAGCCGCGGUAAUACGAAGGGUGCAAACGUUGCUCGGAAUUAUUGGGCGUAAAGCGCACGUAGGCGGCUUUGCAAGUCGGAUGUGAAAUCCCUCGGCUUAACCAAGGAAGUGCAUCCGAAACUGCAGAGCUUGAGUACUUAAGAGGAUCGCGGAAUUCCCGGUGUAGAGGUGAAAUUCGUAGAUAUCGGGAGGAACACCAGUGGCGAAGGCGGCGAUCUGGGAAGAUACUGACGCUGAGGUGCGAAAGCGUGGGGAGCAAACAG